rnacentral:rRNA from 1 species
GAUGAACGCUGGCGGCGUGCCUAAUACAUGCAAGUCGAGCGAACAGACGAGGAGCUUGCUCCUCUGACGUUAGCGGCGGACGGGUGAGUAACACGUGGAUAACCUGCCUACAAGACUGGGAUAACUUCGGGAAACCGGAGCUAAUACCGGAUAAUAUAUUGAACCGCAUGGUUCAAUAGUGAAAGACGGUUUUGCUGUCACUUAUAGAUGGAUCCGCGCCGCAUUAGCUAGUUGGUAAGGUAACGGCUUACCAAGGCGACGAUGCGUAGCCGACCUGAGAGGGUGAUCGGCCACACUGGAACUGAGACACGGUCCAGACUCCUACGGGAGGCAGCAGUAGGGAAUCUUCCGCAAUGGGCGAAAGCCUGACGGAGCAACGCCGCGUGAGUGAUGAAGGUCUUCGGAUCGUAAAACUCUGUUAUUAGGGAAGAACAAAUGUGUAAGUAACUAUGCACGUCUUGACGGUACCUAAUCAGAAAGCCACGGCUAACUACGUG